rnacentral:misc_RNA from 1 species
CUUGGUUCGUGUGGGCAUGUCGGAUCCCUGCUCUGGCAGCGACGGCAGGCAGCACGCGCCUCCUCAUUUGGUGUUGGUUCAAGUGCGAUUUUGCCUUGGCCGCCAUUGGUUUUCUGUGUUGCAUACCUGUGGAAGGUACCUGUUGGCCUAAACGUCCAAUUUCCGUCAUGCACUGCGCCCGUAUUGUGUCGCGGUGUGGGGCGGACCACGAAGACCCGUUGGGUUCCGCGUACCACGCGCCGGAAACCGCGUGUAGACGUUGGCCCCUGACUCGUGCUCGAUCUCUUGGAUGCGGAAACUCAUGUGGCAUGUGGCCAUGGGCCACUAUUUGCCCCAAAAUAAGCGUUUCCCGCUUUGUGCGAACGACUGCUGCCCCCGUCUCGAUCGGUCCCUUUUGGCUCUUGUCGUGCGGUGUCGGCGUCGGUAAGGAA